AAUAGAUACCCUGGUAGUCCACGCCGUAAACGAUGAGUGCUAAGUGUUAGAGGGUUUCCGCCCUUUAGUGCUGCAGCUAACGCAUUAAGCACUCCGCCUGGGGAGUACGGCCGCAAGGCUGAAAACUCAAAGGAAGUUGACGGGGGCCCGCACAAGCGGUGGAGCAUGUGGUUUAAUUCGAAGCAACGCGAAGAACCUUACCAGGUCUUGACAUCCUCUGACACUCCUAGAGAUAGGACGUUCCCCUUCGGGGGACAGAGUGACAGGUGGUGCAUGGUUGUCGUCAGCUCGUGUCGUGAGAUGUUGGGUUAAGUCCCGCAACGAGCGCAACCCUUGAUCUUAGUUGCCAGCAUUCAGUUGGGCACUCUAAGGUGACUGCCGGUGACAAACCGGAGGAAGGUGGGGAUGACGUCAAAUCAUCAUGCCCCUUAUGACCUGGGCUACACACGUGCUACAAUGGAUGGUACAAAGGGCUGCAAGACCGCGAGGUUUAGCCAAUCCCAUAAAACCCAUUCUCAGUUCGGAUUGUAGG
rnacentral:rRNA from 1 species